AUUUUUCUUAAUGAAGGAAUUAAUCAAUAAGUAAGCCUUUCCAGGACUUCUUUUAAAUGCAAGUAACUCAACUAGGUAAUGAAGAACAUAAGAAAUAGGACUCAUGCAGUCAAACAUGUACGGCCUGUUGAGAGAAUACAAAGCAAAGCCUCCUGCUUCCAGAGAUAAAGAAAUGGAGACACAUAGAUUUCCUCUUGAAAUUUGAGAAAUUUUAAGAGAGAGCAGAAGAAAAAGAAGAAGCAAAUGUAUUUUUAUCAUAGAUUCACUGGACUUAUUUGGUCUUUUCCAAAGAUCCUUAAUACUACUAUUUAUCUCCUUUAAGUUUAGCAUCUAAGUCACACAAAGAAAUAGUUACUACUUAUAACAGUAACCCAUAUUCAAGGACAUGAUAAACAGAACAUGUGCUGGAGGAAGUUUCUGUCAUGAAAAUCAGCAUCUGAAUUCAAAGACACUGUGUUACGCAUCAUAGGUUUCAGCACACGGAAAGUAGAGCAUGACUUAUGACCAGGUUUGCUUCUGCCAAGAUCUGGUAGUUGUCAGGGAAUUACUCACUCAGAAGAAAUGCAGCAAGCAGAAUGUUUGUUCACUGAAACUCUAUCAUAUUUAAAAAUUAUUAUAAAUUUAGAUGACAUGGAAAAUUACCACUCAGAAUAACACAGAGGCAGCCAAAUAUUAGGCUCAGUAGCCCUGGAUGCAAUCACACUAUUUCUUUGGUUAUAUUUCAUUUGAAGACCAGGUCUCAAAUAUACACGUAAGUAGAGAUUACUGGUCUCUUUAUCAUCAGGAAAGACUGUUGUCUUGCCUCACUUGGUCAGUGAUUUCACUCUUUCCCAUGGUUUAUAAACAAUCGUGAACCAAGGAGUAGUCAUGGUUCUUAAUAUUUACAAAUGGUACUGCUUGACCUAUAAAUAGAAAAACCAAACUCCCGUCAAAUUUUAUUGAAGCUAAACGUGCAAUGGUCUAUGGCAAUUUGAGCUCUCAAAUGAAACAUUUCAAAUAAAAAGAAACAAAGUCCCCUUAGUACUAUUUUUAUAUAAUAUACUUUAUGCAUUCCAUUGACUUUUUCCUAAUUAGUCUAUCUACUUCCUCAAAAUUUCAUCCAAUUUCCCCACUGGGUGUAUAUGUAAGGUCUGUCUGAGGACCCAGGGACCUCUUUACAUUCUGAUGGCUGAGAAAUGGCUACUUUUACAAAUAGAAAAAAUUGCUGACCUAUAAGUAACUAUAUUUAGCAGAGCUGAUAAAAAAAAAAAAAAGAACGGUUAAAGUCACAGCUGACACCCAAAAUGGCAGCAUUCUUCAAAAUCAAUUGUUGUCUUUUCCCAUAAUUGUCCUCAGUGGAGGCGGUACAUGCCCAGCAUUUCAGGCACUCACACUCAGUACAGAAAAGUGUCUCCAGCUGUUAGGGAGAAUAUGAUAUGAAGGGGACACCAAACAAUAUCCAACUUCUCUCAUGUUAAAGAAGUUGUUUGGGCAAUGCCAGAGCCCAAAGUUGGAGUAUUUCAUGUAAACAGUGUAUAUUCCCCUGGGCAGUGGUACUUAUGAAUAUGAAUAUAGAGAAACUCUGAGAUGGAUAAUCCAAAA